GGACGAACGCUAGCGACAGGCCUAACACAUGCAAGUCGAGGGGCAUCGGGACGUAGCAAUACGUUGCCGGCGACCGGCGGAUGGGUGAGUAACGCGUAUGCAACCUACCCGUAGCAGGGGGAUAGCCCGUUGAAAGACGGAUUAAUACCCCGUAACACAGGGGCUCCGCGUGGAGAUUAUUGUUAAAGGGUCAUUUCUUUUUCAGGGAUGGUCCGGCUGCGGAUGGGCAUGCGUUCCAUUAGGUAGUUGGUGUAGGUAACUGCUCACCAAGCCGACGAUGGAUAGGGGAACUGAGAGGUUGGUCCCCCACACUGGUACUGAGACACGGACCAGACUCCUACGGGAGGCAGCAGUGAGGAAUUUUGGUCAAUGGACGCAAGUCUGAACCAGCCAUGUCGCGUGAAGGAGGACGGCCCUAAGGGCUGUAAACUUCUUUUGCAGUGGAAUAAAGUUUGCCACGAGUUGGCGAUUUGCAAGUACGCUGCGAAUAAGGAUCGGCUAACUCCGUGCCAGCAGCCGCGGUAAUACGGAGGAUCCGGGCGUUAUCCGGAUUUAUUGGGUUUAAAGGGUGCGCAGGCGGGGAUUUAGGUCGGCGGUGAAAUUUCGGGGCUCAACCUCGACAGUGCCGUUGAAACCGUUUCUCUUGAGUGCGGAUGAGGUAGGCGGAAUUUGUGGUGUAGCGGUGAAAUGCGUAGAUAUCACAAGGAACACCGAUUGCGGAGGCAGCUUACUAAACCGUUACUGACGCUCAUGCACGAAGGCGUGGGGAUCAAACAGGAUUAGAUACCCUGGUAGUCCACGCAGUAAACGAUGAUUAUCUUGCUGUUUGCGAUACACAGUAAGCGGCGAAGCGAAAGCGUUAAGUAAUCCACCUGGGGAGUACGUUCGCAAGAAUG
rnacentral:rRNA from 1 species